AGGUUAAGCUACAAAGAGCACACGGAGGAUGCCUAGGCGCCAGGAGCCGACGAAGGACGUGGCGAACAACGAUAAGGCCUCGGGGAGCUGUAAGCAAGCUUUGAUCCGGGGAUGUCCGAAUGGGGAAACCCGGCUGUCUUCAUCGACAGUCACUACUCACUGAAUUCAUAGGUGGGUGAGAGGCAGACCAGGGGAACUGAAACAUCUAAGUACCCUGAGGAAGAGAAAACAAUAGUGAUUCCGUCAGUAGCGGCGAGCGAACGCGGAUUAGCCCAAACCAAGGAGCUUGCUCCUUGGGGUUGUGGGACGUCUCACAUGGAGUUACAAAGGAACCGGUUAGAUGAAGAGGUCUGGAAAGGCCCGCCAGAGAAGGUAAAAGCCCUGUAGUUCAAAACCCGUUCCCUCCGAGACGGAUCCCGAGUAGUGCGGGGCACGUGAAACCCCGUAUGAAUCCGGCAGGACCAUCUGCCAAGGCUAAAUACUCCCUGGCGACCGAUAGUGAAGCAGUACCAUGA
rnacentral:rRNA from 1 species